rnacentral:rRNA from 1 species
UACGUAGGGCGCAAGCGUUUGUCCGGAAUUAUUGGGCGUAAAGAGCUCGUAGGCGGUUUGUCGCGUCUGCUGUGAAAACGCGAGGCUUAACCUCGCGCCUGCAGUGGGUACGGGCAGACUAGAGUGCGGUAGGGGAGACUGGAAUUCCUGGUGUAGCGGUGGAAUGCGCAGAUAUCAGGAGGAACACCGGUGGCGAAGGCGGGUCUCUGGGCCGUUACUGACGCUGGAGGAGCGAAAGCAUGGGGAGCGAACAGG